AUUGAACGCUGGCGGCAGGCCUAACACAUGCAAGUCGAGCGGAGCGGCGAACGGGUGAGUAACGCGUGAGUAACUGCCCCCCUCUCUGGGAUAACAGUUGGAAACGGCUGCUAAUACCGGAUAGUGGGGGAUGGCUCGCGCCCUAUCAGCUUGUUGGUGGGGUAGUGGCCUACCAAGGCGACGACGGGUAGCCGGCCUGAGAGGGCGACCGGCCACAUUGGGCGGAGAUACGGACCAAACUACAACGGGAGGCAGCAGGGGGGAAUAUUGCACAAUGGGGGAAAGCCUGAUGCAGCAACGCCGCGUGGGGGAUGACGGCCUGCGGGUUGUAAACCGCUUUCAGCCAUGACGCGGUAGUGGCAGAAGAAGCACCGGCUAACUACGUGCCAGCAGCCGCGGUAAUAC
rnacentral:rRNA from 1 species